CACGGAGUUAGCCGGGGUUUCUUUACCGGGUACCGUCAUUAUCUUCCCCGGCGAAAGGGCUUUACGACCCUAAGGCCUUCAUCACCCACGAGGCAUGGCUAGAUCAGGCUUGCGCCCAUUGUCUAAGAUUCCCCACUGCUGCCUCCCGUAGGAGUCUGGGCCGUGUCUCAGUCCCAGUGUUGCUGAUCAUCCUCUCAAACCAGCUACCGAUCGUCGGCUUGGUGGGCCAUUACCCCACCAACUACCUAAUCAGACGCGGGCCGAUCUCUUGCCGAUAAAUCUUUCCCCCUCAGGGCACAUCCGGUAUUACCCCCAGUUUCCCAGGGCUAUUCCGAAGCAAAAGGCACGUUCCCACGCGUUACUAACCCGUCCGCCGCUGAGCCCCGAAAGGCCCCGCUCGACUUGCAUGUGUUAAGCCUAGCCCGCAGUCGUUCGUUCUGACGCGAGGACUACAAACUCU
rnacentral:rRNA from 1 species